rnacentral:rRNA from 1 species
CGCGUAGGCGGACAGUUAAGUCGGGGGUGAAAGCCCGGGGCUCAACCUCGGAAUUGCCUUCGAUACUGGCUGUCUUAAGUACGGGAGAGGUGUGUGGAACUCCGAGUGUAGAGGUGAAAUUCGUAGAUAUUCGGAAGAACACCAGUGGCGAAGGCGACACACUGGCCCGUUACUGACGCUGAUGCGCGAAAGCGUGGGGAGCAAACAGGAUUAGAUACCCUGGUAGUCCACGCCGUAAACGAUGAGUGCUAGUUGUCGGCAUGCAUGCAUGUCGGUGACGCAGCUAACGCAUUAAGCACUCCGCCUGGGGAGUACGGUCGCAAGAUUAAA